rnacentral:misc_RNA from 1 species
UGGACUCCGUACUCAAGGAACGCGCCGUAAAGUGGCUGUUUGUUACCGGCUGUACGACAAGUGUCUGUGUGGAAUCGACGCUUCGAGACGCGAUGUUCAGGGACUAUUCUUGUGUUCUCCUGGCCGACUGUACAGCUGAGCCCAUCGGUCAGGGUUUUGCGCGAACUAACCAUGAAGCCUCGCUCCUGGUCAUGCAAACUCUAUUCGGUUGGGU